ACAUUUGUUCUAGUAUUGCCUGCUAGGCGAGRAAGUCUGCUCAGUAUCUAGCAACAAUUAGCAGGCCUAGGGCUGCCUUUAGUGCACAUAGUGAGUUUACCACUGAUUUAAAAAGAACUUUAAAAAAAAAUGAGCUGGAAAAUAAAAAAAAAAUAUGAUCUAUAAAAGAGCACUGACAUCUGAACAUUUCUCUGAUUACAGAAUGAAAUAAAGGACAUUUUCUGGAGGAGAUAAAGGCAUGUACCUCACAUCAGCCCAGGAGACCAUAGCACAGGGCCAGCAUGAACUCAGGCUGCCACGAAGGGGUGAGCGUCUCAGCGACCCACUGAGCUCCUACGSGCCCAACGUGCGGAUGGAGAUGGUGUUUGGCUCUGCAUCAGAAACUGUAGACUGGCUCUGAACACUCGUCUUGAUCUUCUUUCAGCUGUGGUGAGAUGUUUCCAUCUUAAAAUGUGGAACUGUUGUACAUUGCCUCUGGGAAAAAAGCCUGAAGCCACACAGUGAUGUAUCUGCUCAGCAGU